UACGGAGGGUGCAAGCGUUAUCCGGAUUUACUGGGUUUAAAGGGUGUGUAGGCGGAUUAUUAAGUCAGCGGUGAAAUCUCCGGGCUCAACCCGGAAACUGCCAUUGAUACUAUUAGUCUUGAAUAUUGUUGAGGUGGGCGGAACGGGUCAUGUAGCGGUGAAAUGCAUAGAUAUGACCCGGAACACCGAUUGCGAAGGCAGCCCACUAAGCAAUGAUUGACGCUGAGGCACGAAAGCGUGGGGAUCAAACAGGAGUUAGAAACC
rnacentral:rRNA from 1 species